rnacentral:tRNA from 2 species
GGGCUCGUAGCUCAGUGGUUAGAGCAGGGGACUCAUAAUCCCUUGGUCGGGGGUUCAAAUCCCUCCGGGCCCACAA